UCCUGGACCCAAAGGUGAACAAGUUAAAGGUGACAAGGGUGAACAAGGCCAAGCAGGACCACAGGGCCCACCUGGACCACCAGGAACAGGCAUUCAGGGAAGCCAGGGUAUACAGGGUCCACGAGGAAACCCUGGGGCAAAAGGCUCUCAAGGUUUUGGUCUGCCAGGACCAAAGGGUGAACCAGGUGAACCUGGACAAAAAGGAGAAUCAGGAUCUCCAGGAAUUAGCUCAUCAGGACUUAAAGGAGAUAUAGGUCUACCAGGAUUGCCAGGAA
rnacentral:lncRNA from 1 species